rnacentral:rRNA from 1 species
UACGGAGGGUGCAAGCGUUAUCCGGAUUCACUGGGUUUAAAGGGUGCGUAGGUGGGAAUGUAAGUCAGUGGUGAAAUCUCCGUGCUUAACAUGGAAACUGCCAUUGAUACUAUGUUUCUUGAAUUUUCUGGAGGUAAGCGGAAUAUGUCAUGUAGCGGUGAAAUGCUUAGAUAUGACAUAGAACACCAAUUGCGAAGGCAGCUUACUACAGGGAUAUUGACACUGAGGCACGAAAGCGUGGGGAUCAAACAGG